ACCCCCAGCUCAAGACACGAGAUACCACACAAACACAUAGUAAAGCACAGAAGCAGAUUACAUAACAUAAAUACGGCACCCAUAAGUAAUAUAAAACAGAGAAAAACAGAAGAAAGCACACAGAUUCGUAAUAAAACAUGGAACACGGAAGACGGAAUCAUAACAGGAAUAAAACCCCCACCAAGUAAUUUCCUACACUAGCGACCCAAAC
rnacentral:lncRNA from 1 species